rnacentral:rRNA from 1 species
GAGGAAAAGAAACUAACAAGGAUUCCCCUAGUACGGCGAGUGAAGAGGGAAGAGCCCAAGAUUGAAAGCUGGCGUCUUCGGCGUCCGCAUUGUAAUCUCAAGAAGCGUUUUCCGCUUCGGACCAUGCCUAAGUCCCUUGGAAAAGGGCAUCAUAGAGGGUGAUAAUCCCGUACAUGGCAUGGAGCGCCCGAAGCUUUGUGAUACGUUUUCUAAGAGUCGAGUUGUUUGGGAAUGCAGCUCAAAAUGGGUGGUAAAUGCCAUCUAAGGCUAAAUAUUGGGGAGAGACCGAUAGCGAACAAGUACAGUGAUGGAAAGAUGAAAAGAACUUUGAAAAGAGAGUUAAACAGUACGUGAAAUUGCCAAAAGGGAAGGGUAGGAGGUCAGAGAUGCGUCUUGGAAUUCAGCCUUGCUUUUCGCUUGGUGUUUUUUCCAAGUUUGCAGGCCAACGUCGGUUUUGGGCACUGGAGAAGGGUGGAAGGAACGUGGCACCCCUCGGGGUGUGUUAUAGCCUUCUACUGGAUACAGCGACCGAGACCGAGGACAGCAGCGUACUCGCAAGAGCGGGCCCUCGGGCACCUUUACGCUUAGGGCGUUGGCAUAAUGGCCCUCUACCACCCGUCUUGAA